CCUGUGUGCUGUUUUUUAAGGAACCACUGCUUAUUAAUUGUUUUACCAGUUCUGGCACAGUCCUGGAAAGAGACUCAAGGCUGCAAGCCCUUCCAAAAAUCAAUGAUCCUGGAACCUCUGGAGGAAUUUGUAAAUUUGAAGGGAAAGUCUUUUUCCAUGUCCUGUAAUGUGACUGUGGGAUGCAAACACCAAAGAAAACACUGAACAGCUAUGAUGGGUAGCUACGAACAAGGUAACCAUCUACUGUGAAAAUAGGAAGAUAGCAAGGGAUAGGCCAUCAGGAAAGGUGUAGUGGUGUUCGGCGAGGGACACAGCUGC
rnacentral:lncRNA from 1 species